UACGUAGGUGGCAAGCGUUAUCCGGAAUUAUUGGGCGUAAAGCGCGCGUAGGCGGUUUCUUAAGUCUGAUGUGAAAGCCCACGGCUCAACCGUGGAGGGUCAUUGGAAACUGGAAAACUUGAGUGCAGAAGAGGAAAGUGGAAUUCCAUGUGUAGCGGUGAAAUGCGCAGAGAUAUGGAGGAACACCAGUGGCGAAGGCGCCUUUCCGGUCUGUAACUGACGCUGAUGUGCGAAAGCGUGGGGAUCAAACAGG
rnacentral:rRNA from 1 species